rnacentral:rRNA from 1 species
AUUGAACGCUGGCGGCAGGCCUAACACAUGCAAGUCGAGCGGAGCGGCGGACGGGUGAGUAAUGCCUAGGAAUCUGCCUGGCAGUGGGGGAUAACGUCCGGAAACGGGAGCUAAUACCGCAUACUAUGAGAGGAGGCUAGGUCGGAUUAGCUAGAUGGUGGGGUAAAGGCCUACCUAGGCGACAAGCCGUAACUGGGCUGAGAGGAUGAUCAGUCACACUGGAACUGAGACACGGUCCAGACUCCUACGGUAGUCAGCUGUGGGGAAUAUGGGGCGAUGGGCGAAAGCCUGACCCCGCCAUGCCGCGUGUGUGAAGAAGUUCUUCAGAUUGUAAAGUUCUUUAAGUUGUGCGGCGUUACCUACAGAAUAAGCACCGGCUAACUUCGUGCCAGCAGCCGCGGUAAUAC